UACGAAGGGGGCUAGCGUUGUUCGGAAUUACUGGGCGUAAAGCGCGUGUAGGCGGGUCUUUAAGUCAGGGGUGAAAUGCCAAGGCUCAACCUUGGAACUGCCUUUGAUACUGGAGACCUUGAGUCCGGGAGAGGUGAGUGGAAUUGCGAGUGUAGAGGUGAAAUUCGUAGAUAUUCGCAAGAACACCAGUGGCGAAGGCGGCUCACUGGCCCGAUACUGACGCUGAUGCACGAAAGCGUGGGGAGCAAACAGG
rnacentral:rRNA from 1 species